AAAGCUUUUUCCUGAGGAAAUUCAUAUGGUUUGCUGUCAUUGUAGGGCGUUGUAACGCACCUAUGAACUUCAACUCCUUAAAAAUGUAUCAUUUAUUUGUUUUUGCAAACAAAUAAUUUGUUGAGGCCUACAAAACCCAGGAUUUUUCUCUUACAUAUUUACCAAAAGGCUUGUAUGGAAACUACAUUCUGAAUGACUACGGAGAAUAAGGUACCUGAAUCAGAGUUUGAGGGAAGUGUCUCGAUCUAUUUGGGAUUUGGAGGUAAAAAAUCUUUUUUUUUCAGUAAGUAUUUAAAAAUCCUCUUUGAAAGAACUUGUUCUACUUGAGCUACAUUGGUUAGAAAGUUUUGCUCAGACUUUAGUUUUGUUCAGACUUAGGCGUGAUACCAUUUGCAAACCGAGAGGGUUCAAACUCAGUUCUCACCCAUCUAUCAUGAUAGACUGAGUUAUUCGUUCUCCACCCUUUUUAUUAAAGUUAAGACAUCAUGCAGCAAAGAAUACGAGAGUCAUGAAGCUGGAUGAGAGCAAGCAGGCCAUCUGGCUUUGUAGCACAGCAUUGGGAAAUUCAGCUUGGAGUAAGUGGGAGCAUCUAACCAAUAAGUAGCCCUAGAUGGCCACAUCUGACUUCAGUGGGCUGAGAUCAGAGCCAUGACCUAGCUAUGCAGACUGAAGCAGUUCAGAUCAUGCCAAAAAAAUAAGAGUUGCAGGUCUUCUUCAGGGAAUGUUACAGCCAUGCAUAGAGGUACGAAGUAAGCUUAGGCUAUUCCAAGACUAGACAGAUGAGCAGGAAAUUUCUGAACUGCAUUUUUAGCCUUGGGCAUCAAAGUCCUUUGAACCUAGUCCAGUCACCUAGCACAUUUUUGGCUGACUUUACUUGUAUUUGAUGUUCUCCAUCAUGGCAUAAAUUUUCACAGGGUUAAAUGUGUCUAUUUUUGUUCUGUGAUGUGUAACUGGGGUAGUGUAGUAAACAUCUUGUUAAAUAUCAUUUAAUUUGGUGCAUAUGCUGAAGAUGACAUACAGCUUUUAAGCUCUCUGUCAACUAAUUCCUUAUUUGAUCUUCAGGCUGAGAUAGUGAUCUUCAAAGUGAGUACAGUAUGUUGUGUUUGGUACAUCAGUUAAAAAUAAAAAAACAUACUGGUUGAAUAGCA
rnacentral:lncRNA from 1 species